UAUUAUUUGUACCCAGGGGUCUUGUACUGGCUUGCUAACUAAGCCAUAAGGCGAAACGAUUAGGCUUGGUGUUUUUUGGUGACUGGUGAGGCCCUGCUAGUUGCCAAGUGGCUUGAGAGGCUCUAUCUAUGCUUGGCGCGUGGGGAUUUUUUGUGGCCACCGAACGUUGUGGCAGGAUUUUGGCCUCUCGGUGACAGUAACCAGAAAAUAGGAAGGGGAGUGACAGGUGAGGCCCUCUCUAUAAUACAGUGCGAGGCGGCUAGCUCACGAGUGGCCCGAGGGGUGUAUGCCUCCGAGUGUGAGGCGGGGUGUUGGCCUCGCGGGACCACUAACCGAAGCAUAAAGCAGAGAAAACAGGGGGUAAUACCUAUUGGGCCAUAGAACCCUAAUUGCCAGUACAUUACUACUAUUCCAGGGAAGGUAAGAGAUGGAUAACUACGUGAGCAGGUGUACGUACCUUGCAGUAUGGUAUUGAACCUGACAAUCUGUAUAGGUUUUUUAGUAGUAACUGUAACCUGAAUGGAUAAAAUCGUAUGGCAUAAGGAAAUAUGGCAUAGACCAAGCUUAUCUUAAAACAUACAGUAUAUGUGAAAAGUAAAGUACCGUGAUAUGUAAAUAUUAAACAUCAUAGCCAUACUGGUUAAAUAUGUAUCAAUCUUAACCCAUUAAGUGCCGUAUGUACAAGUGAAAAAGUGGUCUGUCCCCACCUUGUAUGUUGUAUGUCCCCUUGCAAGGGGAAAGUCUGUUGUGUGAGCAGUGUGCUGUGAAAAAUGUAUGUGAACUAUAUUACCAGUUACGUAUAUACAGAUGCGUGUGCAACUGUG